rnacentral:rRNA from 1 species
AUUGAACGCUGGCGGCAUGCCUUACACAUGCAAGUCGAACGGUAACAGGUCUUCGGAUGCUGACGAGUGGCGAACGGGUGAGUAAUACAUCGGAACGUGCCCGAUCGUGGGGGAUAACGGAGCGAAAGCUUUGCUAAUACCGCAUACGAUCUACGGAUGAAAGCAGGGGACCGCAAGGCCUUGCGCGGACGGAGCGGCCGAUGGCAGAUUAGGUAGGUGGUGGGAUAAAAGCUUACCAAGCCGACGAUCUGUAGCUGGUCUGAGAGGACGACCAGCCACACUGGGACUGGGACACGGCCCAGACUCCUACGGGAGGCAGCAGUGGGGAAUUUUGGACAAUGGGCGAAAGCCUGAUCCAGCCAUGCCGCGUGCAGGAUGAAGGCCUUCGGGUUGUAAACUGCUUUUGUACGGAACGAAAAGCCUCUUUCUAAUAAAGAGAGGUCAUGACGGUACCGUAAGAAUAAGCACCGGCUAACUACGUGCCAGCCGCCGCAGUAAUAC